GGAUUGCGNNUGGGGGAACCCUGACGCAGCAACNCCGCGUGAAGGAUGAAGGUUUUCGGAUUGUNAACUUCUUUGAUUGGGGACGAAAAAAAUGACGGUACCCAAAAAACAAGCCACGGCUAACUACGUGCCGGCAGCCGCGGUAAUACGUAGGNGGCGAGCGUUGUCCGGAAUUACUGGGUGUAAAGGGCGUGUAGGCGGGAUUUAAAGUCAGAUGUGAAAUACCGGGGCUCAACUCCGGGGCUGCAUCUGAAACUUAAAUUCUUGAGUGCUGGAGAGGAAAGCGGAAUUCCUAGUGUAGCGGUGAAAUGCGUAGAUAUUAGGAGGAACACCAGUGGCGAAGGCGGCUUUCUGGACAGUAACUGACGCUGAGGCGCGAAAGCGUGGGGAGCAAACAGGAUUAGACACCCUGGUAGUUCACGCCGUAAACGAUGGAUACUAGGUGUAGGAGGUAUCGACCCCUUCUGUGCCGGANUUAACACAAAUAAGUAUCCCACCUGGGGAGUACGGCCGCAAGGUUGAAACUCCAAAAAAAUUGACGGAAA
rnacentral:rRNA from 1 species